UGCGUCGGCGUUCAGCUGUGGCUCGUGCUUUUAUUGACUGCGCACGAGUCCCGGCCGAGCGCUGACGCGGU
rnacentral:precursor_RNA from 1 species